UGAGUGACUCUUCUGAGUAACCGAUUAAAUCAAUCAAAACUUUCAACAACGGAUCUCUUGGUUCUGGCAUCGAUGAAGAACGCAGCGAAAUGCGAUAAGUAAUGUGAAUUGCAGAAUUCAGUGAAUCAUCGAAUCUUUGAACGCACAUUGCGCCCGCCAGUAUUCUGGCGGGCAUGCCUGUUCGAGCGUCAUUACAUCCCUCAAGCCCCCGGGCUUGGUGUUGGGGAUCGGCGAGCCUCAGCGCCCGCCGUCCCCUAAAUUUAGUGGCGGUCACGCUGUAACUUCCUCUGCGUAGUAGCACACUUAGCACUGGGAAACAGCGCGGCCACGCCGUAAAACCCCCCAACUUUUGAACGUUUGACCUCGAAUCAGGUAGGACUACCCGCUGAACUUAAGCAUAUCAAUAAGCGGAGGAA
rnacentral:rRNA from 1 species